GCACCGACGGCGAGUCCCAAACAGGACGAAACAGCUGUCCAGUGC
rnacentral:hammerhead_ribozyme from 1 species